CCGCCGGCGACCGGCGCACGGGUGAGUAACACGUAUGCAACCUGGCCGUGACAGAUGGAUAACCGGGAGAAAUCCCGCCUAAUACAACAUAAUGCCGGGAGGGGACAUCCCCUGCCGGCUAAAGGGGGCGACCCCGGUCACGGAUGGGCAUGCGGCGCAUUAGGUAGUUGGUGGGGCAACGGCCCACCAAGCCGACGAUGCGUAGGGGUUCUGAGAGGAAGGUCCCCCACAUUGGAACUGAGACACGGUCCAAACUCCUACGGAAGGCAGCAG
rnacentral:rRNA from 1 species